AGCAGCCGCGGUAAUUCCAGCUCCAAUAGCGUAUAUUAAAGUUGUUGCAGUUAAAAAGCUCGUAGUUGAAUUUCGGGAUCAAGUCGUCGGUCGUGCUCAGGUACGUACUGGCGUCAUUGAUUUCUCCCUUCUGACGAACCAUGAUGUCAUUAAUUUGGUGUCAUGGGAAAUCAGGACUGUUACUUUGAAAAAUUAGAGUGUUUAAAGCAGGCUCACGCUUGAAUACAUUAGCAUGGAAUAAUGAAAUAGGACGUUCGAUCCUAUUUUGUGGUUUUUAGGAUCAACGUAAUGAUUAAUAGGGAUAGUUGGGGCAUUAGUAUUCAAUUUGUCAGAGGUGAAAUUCUUGGGAUUUAUUGAAGACUAACUACUGCGAAAGCAUUUGCCAAGGGAUGUUUUCAUUAAUUCAAGAACGAAAGUUUAGGGGGAUCGAAGACGAUCAGAUACCGUCGUAGUCUUAACCCAUAAAA
rnacentral:rRNA from 1 species